rnacentral:rRNA from 1 species
UACGUAGGGAGCGAGCGUUGUCCGGAAUUACUGGGUGUAAAGGGAGCGUAGGCGGGGCGGCAAGUCAGGUGUGAAAUUUAUGGGCUUAACCCAUAACCUGCAUUUGAAACUGUCGCUCUUGAGUGAAGAAGAGGUUGGCGGAAUUCCUAGUGUAGCGGUGAAAUGCGUAGAUAUUAGGAGGAACACCAGUGGCGAAGGCGGCCAACUGGGCUUUUACUGACGCUGAGGCUCGAAAGCGUGGGGAGCAAACAGGAUUAGAUACCCCGGUAGUCC